CCUUGCUGCCCUCAAAUGCCAAGUCCGUACCUCUCUCUUCGCUUCUCUCCGGUCAUCGGAGCUCCGUUUUCCGGAUACGAAAGCUCAGAUCUCCAACACCGUCGUGAUCGGACGAAGCUCAGCUGCUGAUAAUAGUGAGCUGAAGGCAACAUGUCUGCCACACAGGAUGGAAUCCUAGGCCGACCAAAAGCCGAAUGGACACCAUCCCGAGAUGCUUAUUUGGUUGAACUUUUUAUUGAGCAACACAAUUGUGGAAGAACCGCGUAUAAUGAAUUUAAAGUUGAAGUGUAUAAAUCAGUCACAAAUGAUUUUAAUAGGAAGUUUGGCAUGAAUCUAGAAGAGAACCAGAUUAAGAACCGGUACAAUGUUAUGAAGAAAGAUUACGGUAUUGUUAAAACCUUACUUAGUCAUCCUGGGUUUGCCUGGGAUGACAUUCGACAAAUGGUUGUGGCUGAUGAUAAAAUUUGGGACAGCUAUAUUGCGGUACGAAGUGAUGCAAGGCCCUUUCGACGCAAAAGCUUUCCUCUGUAUAAACAGAUGUCCAUUAUUUUUGAAGGGGAAAGACCCAGUGGCAGAUACCAAUUUCCAAGCGGAGUUCUUUUGGAACCUGAAGAGGAAAAUAGCAACACAGAAACGGUUCGAUCCUCAGAGCCCAGCAACCUACCAACACAAGUCGUUGAUGGUGCCCUUGAUUCUGAUUCAAUAUUCCAUAUAAAUGACGUGCAACCCAAGAAACGCAAAUCUACUGGUCCAGUAACUUCUAGUCGUAAGAGAAGAGCAUGCGACAGGGUUGGAGAUAAGUUAGAAAAUGUCUUGUAUGAGAUGUUCUCAGCAGCCAGUUUCAAAUGUUUGCAAAGGAAUGCAAUAAAAGAACAAACAAUGUACCAGAAGUGCUUAGAGGAGUUGCAGGGAUUAGAAGAGUUGGAUGACUCAGAGUUUACAAAGGCUGUUAAUGUCCUUAGAGAUGAUAAGAAUGCAAUUGCUUUCAUGACAAUUAAAGGACCAAGGAGGUUGACCUGGUUGAGGUCUCUAUGGCAAACAUAGUAAACAACCUCAUUCACACCAUCUUGCCCACUUCAUUUCAUGUCUUAUCCACAAAUCCAGGAAACUUCCCUUCUCUUUUAUACAGUCUUAUUUAUUUUGCCCUGGAUGAUAUUCUGUUCUAUAUAUGUGUACACAAAGGCAUUGUUCCUUUAAUCGAUUAACCUUAUUACUCACUUGCAUUUUGUUGAUGGAUAUGUUACCAUGGUCUUUAUGUUGCAUAUUCUAGAUCCACAUGCUUUACAUUUAUGGGUGGUCAGGAUGUUUUGCUUGGAAUGUUUGGACGUGUUGUUCGGUUAUGUUCUCACAAUUUUGCAGAAAUAGCUUUCACACUGUUUCGUGGAGGAUACUGGCAGUUUGUGCAUGUGGACGAGGACCUCUGGCAGGCAUUUAUUUCAUGGUUGGUGAACAAUGACGGGUAAUACUAUAGUUAGGUUUCAUAGAUAGCUUCUUGUAUCUGCAAUGUUACACUUAGAUAUGUUGAUUAAUCUCCCACCAGUAGAGUCCAUUACUGGGUCCCGUACCCAAGUACAUUAUUUGAACACUUGCAUGAUUUGCGGUCCGAUGGUUGCUAUGGAGUGCGACAUUUUGAAGGACAGUUAUCUGCCUUCAAAAUGCAUACAGAAAAGCAGUAUUGCCAAUCAUGCUCGUAACCCUUUCUUUUUUUUUUUUUUUGGUGGUGAAAAUAGUUUGUCAUUAUGAAUAUUGUUAGAUUUUUCUGAAGAGUUACAUGGCAUGUGAAAAAAAAUGCAUAUUAUGUUUUGAAAACUGAUCUAUGUAGAUUGCAUAAUAAUCCUAUUUGUUUAUAUUAGAGCUAUUUUCUUCAUCCUGUGUGUACCCCAAUUGGUGAAAUUUUUGAGGGGUAUAGACAGUUUUUUCUCCUCUUAGUAUCCAAAGCAAUUGGAUACUAUUGUAGUCUUACCCAACUGUGUAGAACUGCAAAACUACAGAAGUGAAAGGGAAAACAUAGAAAUAAUUGAAAAUAAAAAGAACAAUUUUAAGUGGGUUCCAUAGAAUUCGAGUGGCCUCCAUGCAAAAAGGAGACAGCGACCGAUGAGCUUGUCAACAAUCAAUAUGCUCUCUUCGCAUACACAGAAACGAUUCCGUAAGGGAAAAAAAAGAAACGAAGGAAAGAAAGUGAAAAAGAAAAAGUUGUUACAAUUCUCAAAAACCCAUCUUCAAGUUCCUCUUUAUCAUCAUCUUGAAUUCAUAAUCUCUCUCAAUGGAUCGUCCCGUCAUCUUUGUUGCCACCAUUCUGGCCCUCCUCUGUGUCUCAGAAGUUGAUUCAGCAACGUUCAGACUCAUCAACAAGUGCCGCCACACAAUCUGGCCGGGAUUUUUGUCUGGCGCCAACACGGCGCCCCUCGCUUCCACAGGCUUUGUUCUCAAGAGUGGCAAAUCCAGGACCAUCUCGGUGCCCAGAUCAUGGUCCGGUCGGAUGUGGGGUCGAACCCUUUGUGCCGAAGACGAUUCCGGGAAGUUUUCUUGCGCCACCGCCGAUUGUGGCUCCGGGAAGGUGGAGUGCGAUGGAGGCAACGCCGAACCGCCGGCGACUUUGGCGGAGUUCACGUUGAACGGCGACCAAGGUUUGGACUUUUACGACGUGAGCUUGGUUGAUGGGUACAAUCUCCCCAUGCUGGUGGUGGCAAGGGGUGGCCACGGCGGUGACUGCAGCGCCACCGGGUGUCUCGUCGACCUGAACGGCGCGUGCCCGAAGGAGCUGAGGGUGGUGGCUUCGGCGACGAACGGCAGCCGCGGCGCGAGUGUCGCGUGUAAAAGCGCGUGUGAAGCUUUCGGAGAUCCGAUGUAUUGCUGCAGUCAAGCUUAUUCUACGCCCGACACAUGUCAACCAUCAGUGUACUCUCAGUUCUUUAAACAUGCUUGCCCACGCUCCUAUAGCUACGCGUAUGAUGACAAGACGAGCACCUUCACUUGUGCCUCUGCAGAUUACAUUAUCAUCUUCUGUCCAUCCCCUUUCACCAGCCAAAAAGUGUUGGCGUUGCGGAGAGAAGCAGCAGAGCUGCCUCUAGUGAACAAAACCAUGAUGUACAUAGGAAGAAAAUAUGCGAGCGGCACUUCAUCCCCAGGUCGGGUUCAAGAGCAAAUCAUAGCUCAUGGUGCCUCCAUUGUGGUGUCGCUAUUGCUCCUCUUGCUAUUUUUGUAACAGUUUCAGGAAUUGCCACGGAAAGUCUAGCUGAAAGGUGGUUGUCAUCUUGUAGACGACCCCAUUGUUGUACCAGUCCUCAUUGGGCUGGCAAAGGAUGUUGCAGCUAAAAUUCAAGGAAAUAUGCUGGCCACAUAAUAUUGAAGAUGAUAUGGGUCUAGGAGAAGUGGUCUUGAAAUUCAAUCGCUGUUGAAGACAGUAGCGUCAUUUGAUCCUCAAAAGGAGUUUCUUUCUUAUCAUAUUUGCACAGAAAGAAUUGAUGCAAAUUCAGUUGCUAGUGUCUGUCUCCAGAUAGGGUUUUGGGCCUUGGCUUAGAGGGGAUUUGAUUUGGAUUACAGAUUCCAAAUGGCCGCUUCUAAGUGAAGAUGGCUUGGAUCAAUUAUAAAGCCCAUUUUAAUCUUCUUAUUGCAAGGUUUGAAAUCAGAUCUGUUUGAGUCUGAGAUUCUUUCUGAGACGCUGUCACUCAAGAUUUCGUUUGCUUGCUUAAAUGAUGUGAUAUCCAAUACCAUAAAAGGGAGGAAUUGUUAAA